UAGAGUUGGAUUAAUCCAGAGA
rnacentral:piRNA from 1 species